rnacentral:rRNA from 1 species
UACAGAGGGUGCGAACGUUGCUCGGAAUUACUGGGCGUAAAGCGCAUGUAGGCGGAUCCAUAAGUCAGACGUGAAAUCCCCCGGCUUAACCUGGGAACUGCGUCUGAUACUGGGAGACUUGAGUAUGGGAGAGGGAUGUAGAAUUCCAGGUGUAGCGGUGAAAUGCGUAGAUAUCUGGAGGAAUACCGAUGGCGAAGGCGGCAUCCUGGACCAUUACUGACGCUGAGGCGCGAAAGCUAGGGGAGCAAACGGG